UUCAGAAUAUCAAUAAUCCUGAUCCAUUUUUCUGUAAUGUUAUAUCGCAAAAUGUAAAAAAAAGUGUAAAUACUUAUUCAAGGACUGUACAUAAAUUAGAUGUAAAGAUUGACAAUGGAAUUUUAUUAAAUGGAUUUCUUUGUAAGGGGAAAUGCAGUGAUCUAAAAUGAGAUACUGUAAUAUUUUGCAGCUUAUUUUAUUGCAACAACUGAUGUAGAUUUAUUUAUUUUUCAAUAGGUCUUUUCAUAUGUUGUGUUAAUUAUAUAUGUAUUGUGUAUAUAUCUUGAU